AUUGAACGCUGGCGGCAGGCUUAACACAUGCAAGUCGAGCGGGGGAAGGUAGCUUGCUACCGGACCUAGCGGCGGACGGGUGAGUAAUGCUUAGGAAUCUGCCUAUUAGUGGGGGACAACAUCUCGAAAGGGAUGCUAAUACCGCAUAAGUCCUACGGGAGAAAGCAGGGGAUCUUCGGACCUUGCGCUAAUAGAUGAGCCUAAGUCGGAUUAGCUAGUUGGUGGGGUAAAGGCCUACCAAGGCGACGAUCUGUAGCGGGGCUGAGAGGAUGAUCCGCCACACUGGGACUGAGACACGGCCCAGACUCCUACGGGAGGCAGCAGUGGGGAAUAUUGGACAAUGGGGGGAACCCUGAUCCAGCCAUGCCGCGUGUGUGAAGAAGGCCUUAUGGUUGUAAAGCACUUUAAGCGAGGAGGAGGCUACUUUAGUUAAUACCUAGAGAGAGUGGACGUUACUCGCAGAAUAAGCACCGGCUAACUCUGUGCCAGCCGCCGCCGUAA
rnacentral:rRNA from 1 species